CCUACGGGAUGCUGCAGUGGGGAAUAUUGGGCAAUGGAGGAAACUCUGACCCAGCAACGCCGCGUGAAUGAUGAAGGUCUUCGGAUUGUAAAGUUCUUUUCUAAGGGAAGAAGAAAGUGACGGUACCUUAGGAAUAAGCCUCGGCUAACUACGUGCCAGCAGCCGCGGUAAUACGUAGGAGGCAAGCGUUAUCCGGAAUGACUGGGCGUAAAGGGUGCGUAGGUGGUUUGACAAGUUCGUAGCGUAACUCCGAGGCUUAACCUCGGCACUACUACCAAAACUGUUGGACGCGAGUGCAGGAGGGGCAAAUGGAAUUCCUAGUGUAGCGGUGGAAUGCGUAGAUAUUAGGAGGAACACCAGUGGCGAAGGCGAUUUGCUGGACUGUAACUGACACUGAGGCACGAAAGCGUGGGGAGCAAACAGGAUUAGAUACCCGGGUAGUC
rnacentral:rRNA from 1 species